rnacentral:rRNA from 1 species
GAGACAGCAGUAGCCGCGGGAAUACGAAGGGUGCAAGCGUUACUCGGAAUUACUGGGCGUAAAGCGUGCGUAGGUGGUGGUUUAAGUCCGUUGUGAAAGCCCUGGGCUCAACCUGGGAAUUGCAGUGGAUACUGGGUCACUAGAGUGUGGUAGAGGAUAGUGGAAUUUCCGGUGUAGCAGUGAAAUGCGUAGAGAUCGGAAGGAACAUCUGUGGCGAAGGCGACUAUCUGGGCCAACACUGACACUGAGGCACGAAAGCGUGGGGAGCAAACAGGAUUAGAUACCCCCGUAGUCCCUGUCUCUUAUAC